rnacentral:lncRNA from 1 species
UAAGGAUACAGAAAACCAGAAGCAAUCACUAGAAAUGUAAAUUGUAUCAUAAAGUUGAUCUCCAAGUGAAUGAUGAAUGAUGAUGUACCAUGAUGAUGGUGGCAUUUGGGUCUUUAGGCAUAAGCAUUUCCUUCCCAACAGGUCCAGUGAUCUUAGCUUCAUCACCCGGCUCCAAGUCACCUGAGAGAGCCCAAACAACAACAACACAUAAAGAAAAGUUUAAACCGUAAUCAGAAAACCCAUAAAAGUCUUCGUGUGCUUCUCCUUACAUAAGAAGUUGGAGCAGACCCCCUUAACAAUCUCUCCGCUAUCAUUUGUGUAAACUAAUCUCUUGACACAGAGAGAAACCUGCAAAAAGCGAUUGCCAGAUAAGAGAAGAGCAGAGUCUGUAUUGUAAGUGUUGAAGAGGGAAAGCAUACGGUCUUGGAGUCUCCAAAGUCACCAAUGGCACUGCUGGCGAUUGAGUACAACCUCAGCUUGUGGGGCUUCCCGUUCUUAUCAAUUCCCUCAGGGAUCACUCCUAUCGAUUGCCCUUCUCUAUACGGAACCUCACCUAAGUCCAUCAAUGUUUAUCAAGUUCAACCAACCUUAAUCAUCAUCUCUUGCAGAAUCGAAAUAUUGAAUGCUCGAAAAAAAUAUUAAGAAGCCUACUACCUUCGGUGGUGAAGACAAUGUGCCAGGUUUCACCGGGAGCGUCAUCGCCGGUGAUCUUGGUGUUCAAGAGGCAUCGACCAGUGUAAGGGUUCUUAGGUUUGAAUUUGUUGACAACGAUUCCUUCUUCCUGUUUCUUUGACUCCUUGACUACUUUCACUGGGGCCUCGGUAGCCUCUGUUGUCACCUGAGCCUUCACUGACACAACUCUGCCCCCAACUCUGUAACACUGUGUGCUCUGUCCGUUGUUGCAGGAGAUAAGAUAUAUCAACAAUUAUGCAUGUCAAGAUCCCAUCCAGCUUUGUGCGAUUUCAAAGAAGAUGAAAUAAAUAAAUUGAACUGUUACCUUCUUGAGGAAAAUCCUUUGAGGGGACACAGAGGAUAAUGAGGUUUUGGUGAGUAGAGAAGACGACUUGGAGGAAGGUAAAGAGACUGCAGCACUUAUCGCAGCAGCCAUGUCUGAUCAGAAUCGCAAACGAAGAAGAGGAACAAGUGGAGAUCAGAGAAAAAAAUAAAUAUAUGAUAGAUAAGAAACCAAAAAGGAUCAAAGAAAGAAUGGAGAAAAUGGUUAGCGGGAGAUAUAUGAUGUGGUUGUGAUUGGAUGUGUGUGGAUUCUGUCAAGGGCAAUGUGAGGCCAAGUGUUAGAGAGGAUAAUGUUAUUAGUAGGAACGUGCACAGCUUCUCCUUUCUUGUCCUAAUUUUAGCAUUGCCAUUUUCAUGCGCCUAUCAGUCUGUAGUUUACUGGGCUAGCUUAUGGGCUCUAACGGGCCUUUUACUUCGACACGUAGCAUCAUCCGUCCCUUAUAAGGGUUCAUAGUUUUACUCUCAGUGAAUAGUUUUACUUUUAACAUGAGAGAUGAGCGGAGCUCUCUUGUUGUCUCCUUUAUCCCAUUAGAGCUUUCUUCCCAGAUUACACGAAAUACUUUUAAAAGGCUCAAAUCAUCAAUGAUAUCGUCUGCAGAUAUAUGAAUCUGUACAGAAAUGAUCAACAAGAGAAAUACAGAGAGAGAGAGAGAGAGAAGAUCAACUACAAAAACGUAUUACAGGGGUAAGUAUAAUAACACCACAACGUAUUCUGCAUUCGCUGUUCAAGAAAUCAACAUCAAAAAUCGAUAACUAUGAAUCAAUUGAAAUUGAAACCCCUGGAUCCUUUCGACUGGUAAAGGUCCAGUCUGCUUUUAGCCUCCUGCAACAGAGCUUCUAAGCUCUCCAGCUGUGUAACCCAAGACUGCUUCGAAGCCCACUCCAACACUGCCAGAACCUCGUCCUUUGCCAGCUGCUCGCUGUCUGGAACAUUGAGUGCUAUGUAACACAGGAGCUCUAGUGCUGGAAUCUGAACACCACUCUCUCCAAAGUAGGCCAACUGAACCAGAUGUUUGCCUCCUCCAGCUUCUAUAAUCCCCCUCGAGUGAUCUUUGUGCAAGUAAUUCUCUGUGCAGGCAAAUUUCGUUAGAGCAACAGCCGCUUCCCCGGUCACUUCAGGCUCUCGUUCAUCCAGAAGCUUCACCAGAGGCCCGAUCAUCCGUGUCUCAGUUGCUCUGAAUGUUCUAGCAAGGUUCCCAAUGGUUCUAAUGCAGGGGAUGAGUAGCUCGGAAUCAGCGAUCUCAAUGAUCCUAAGCACUUGAUCAACCACAGCCUUGCAGGCCGGGGAAUUGGGUUUGAAUGCAGAGCGUCUCAAAUCAGCAUCCUGCUCUGCAACGGCCGUUAUCUCCAUCAACGCCAUAGCUGAGUUGUACCUGACCUCCUCGUUUCCCUUAUCAAUCAGAACAGCAAAGCAGAGGAGAGCUCUGGACUCUGUAAUGCUUUUGCAGAUGGUGGAAUUGCCUUUCGCCAGCUUCCACAGCGCUCUGGCCGCCAUUGCCUUAAGCUGACACUUGGUGGCUGCGUCUUCCAGAUCUCGAGUCUUGGAUGCGCUCGAAGUUGAAUUCUGGUGCUGCUGUAGAUUGCAAGGUAGCUUGACGCCAUUACUCUGGCUCACACUGUUGCUCGUCGACUUCCUGGGAGGAUUUGCCCUAACCGCCAUGGUGUUGACGACCACAUUGUGCAUCUGAUUAGGCAUCUGCUUCCCAGUAGGAUGUGGAAUGGAGCUCUGAUCGUCAUCAGGACCCUUGGCCAGGGGUGCGGGAGAGGUGGAAUUAGGGUUUUCCUUGGCGAGAGCGACGGCGUGGUGGAUGGAGGUAGCUUUGUUGUUGGUGGCAAUGGCGUAUUUGCUGUGCUCUUGCACGGUUUCGAAGGCCAAGUGGCCAACGAGUAGCCGAAUGGCGUUGUGCUGAGCGAAGACGUCUUGGCACUUGGGGUGAUUGGAGACGAGUUCGGAAGUAGCCCAGGCAACCAUGGCCUGGACUUUCAUGGGACCUUCUUUGAGGACUUUGCCGAAGACGGAACAAGCGCCGCCGUGAAUCAUGUGCUCAACGCUCUCGGGAUCACGGCCGAGUAAGCCCAAGGCACGAGCGGCGUUCUCCUGGCCUUCGGGCUUACCUUCCUUGAGAAGCUUAAGGAGAGGGACGACGCCUCCUUNNNNNNNNNNNNNNNNNNNNNNNNNNNNNNNNNNNNNNNNNNNNNNNNNNNNNNNNNNNNNNNNNNNNNNNNNNNNNNNNNNNNNNNNNNNNNNNNNNNNNNNNNNNNNNNNNNNNNNNNNNNNNNNNNNNNNNNNNNNNNNNNNNNNNNNNNNNNNNNNNNNNNNNNNNNNNNNNNNNNNNNNNNNNNNNNNNNNNNNNNNNNNNNNNNNNNNNNNNNNNNNNNNNNNNNNNNNNNNNNNNNNNNNNNNNNNNNNNNNNNNNNNNNNNNNNNNNNNNNNNNNNNNNNNNNNNNNNNNNNNNNNNNNNNNNNNNNNNNNNNNNNNNNNNNNNNNNNNNNNNNNNNNNNNNNNNNNNNNNNNNNNNNNNNNNNNNNNNNNNNNNNNNNNNNNNNNNNNNNNNNNNNNNNNNNNNNNGAGCAGCCUGACGAAGAAGACCAGCGAGCUUCUCGGUCUUGGCCUUGAGUUCGGCGCACUCCUGCUUGAAGGAACUAGCCUCAUCAGCGGCUUUGACCACCUGGUCAGACAGUUGAAUCGGUUUGGCUAGGAUUUGCUUUACGAUGUCCGCCAUCGCCGAGAUCUCCGAUCGAGAUUCAGAAAUGAAAAGGAUUAUUAAAACUUUUUUAUUUUUUUGGUUAGGGCAAAAUAAAAGGAAAAAGGAAAGAAAAAAGGUUUUGUUUGGCGUAGUUUAUCUUCUCCCACUCGUCAACUGGGUUUUUAGGGAAAGCAGCAAUAAAUUGACUGGCGAGGAAGAAGAAGAAGAAGAAGAAGAGAAUCCAUGGCGAGGAAGAUGCCUAGUUUUGCUGCCCGAGACAAUGUCAAACGCGGCUGUGGGUUGUUGUUACUUACUGCCCCCCUGCUGAUUGCUUCUCGAUUUUACUAAAAUACCCCUUCGUCCGCCUUAUUUACUACUAGUAGUUCUGACUUUUCCUUUCCCAGUCAAGUCGUCUUCGGAUUAAAAAAGAAAAAUAAGAGAGACCCCCCCCCAUCCCAUAUGCAUUUUCUUAAACAUAUCCCGGAUUUAGUGUCUUUUCCUCAACAUUUCUAUAUUUUAAUACUACCAACGACUAGUAUCCCUUAUUACUACUAAUUUAGUAUCCCUUAUUACACACAAUUGUAGAAUGAAUCUUGAGUAAGUCAAUAGAGAGAGAGAAAGAUAUUACGUCCAUUUUUCACAUUCACCGAACCAAAUACGUAUACAUUUAUGUGACCACCCCUGAUAUCCGAAUUACACUAAUUCCCUUAAUUAAUCUCAAUCAUUGUUUUAUCAAUUUCGUUGGAGGAGGAGGAGAGCCACUCAGAUCCUCGCUGGAAAAAGUAAUAGAAAAAAGGUUGCUCUCUCUCUCUCUCUCUCACACAAAUAUUGUUUUAAAAAUUCAUACAGAUAUAGGAAACAAAAUUGGAAACAGACAACAAAAUAUAUAGGAGAAUCAAAAAUUCACAGCUGGGCUCUAUGAAUCUUUGGUGCCAACUCAACCAUUUACUUUUAAUUGUAGCGAUUUAAUUGCUCUCUCCAAAUGCCACCUGGCCUCCGUAAACACUCUUGUUCAUCUAUGGACAGUAGUACUUCAAUAUGAUUCUCACUUUUGGUUUCGCUUCCUUUUUAGAACGAGCCAACGUACUUUAUAACAACAACACUACAACGCCAAACAAAAAAUAAUACAAAAAAAAAACCCACUUUAUCUUACAACCAACAUUACAUAUAAGAUAAGACAUCACAUCCCAACAAAUUACAUUCCCUCCUCUUCUAGUUUACAUUUUUCCACUACCGAGGAUUCCUGUGCCGCCCUGAAGGGCUUGAUACUCUCUGUGAACUUAUGCUUGCUGUUCUUAGAAGUCUCCUGAACUCAUGCAGGCUUAUCUUCCCAUCUCUGUCUAUGUCUGCUUCAUCCAGCAGUGGAUCUAUUGACCCUCUUAGCCCCGUGUGCUGAAAAUUUAACAUAUUUUCCCGUUUCAUUUUUUCUACCAUAGAGGAUAAUACAAUCACUGGACGUUAGGUGCAAGCUUACCAUUCGAAGUUCCUCAGGCGUUAUGUAACCGUCUUUGUCUAUGUCGAAUUUCUCAAACGCUGCUCUUGAUCUUUGCUGCCAUUUCUCUGAAUCAUGUUCUUCCAGUUGAUGGACAUGCAGAGCUGCUGCCACAAACUCUGUGAACUCCACUAACCCAUCAGUGUUGCUAUCUAUCUGUGUCCAGCAUAAAUAUAUACAACAGUCUCAGACUAUAAAAAUUGUCUGAUAUUCCCAGAGAGAUGCUAUUGCAAUCUAAAAGAAAACUGUAACUACCGCUUGAAGGAUCUCAGACACUCGUGAAUCCUUCAGUUUCCAAGGAAGAUCUUUGGCAAGUGCCUGUAUCAAAAAAAAAUAAUAAUAAGAUUCAGUAUUAUCUACCUUUCAUGCUUUAGAUGUUAAUCAGUAUCGUUUUUAAAUAAAAAUCACACCUGUCUCAUCUCCUCAAGACUAAUGACGCCAUUCUUAUCCACAUCAAUGGCAUCAAAUUGAUCUCUGAGGUCAGAAAUCUCAGCCUCGUCAAGUGUGCUAGCAAGAGCCUGCCAGAAGGAGAUACAAAGCAUUAGAAACAUGUCUUCACCUCUUUUUUAUUUAUUUUUUCUCCAUCAAACAACUUCCGCAGUUAGCAUACCCUUAAAGCAAAUUGCUUUAGACGGCUGUAUCUCACAAACUGGCGCAAGUUGUUUAGAACUGAAAUGUCGACAGGGAUAUCAGUAGCAUUGCCCCCUUCUCUAACCCAUGCAUGUGCUGCCGAGGCAAGAGAAACAUAUUAGUCUGAGAUUCCGCUGCCAAUGAUGAAAUCACUAACUAAAAUUUGAAAACAAAAAAACGCAUACAUAGAGCUUGUGCAGCAGUUAGCCGUGCUCUUGGGUCUUUUACAAGUAACUUUUUAACAAAAUCUUUUGCGCUGUCGCUUAUUGUUGACCAUGGUUUGCGACGGAAGUCAGGUUUGUUUUUUAAAACCUAUAGACGUAGUAGAGAGUAGUAAGAUGUGAGAAAGAUAAGUACAGUAUAAGGUAUACAAAGAAAUCGAGUAACAGAAAAGUUUUCAACUAUACCUCCUUAAAAAUACCGUCUUCAGUCCUAUCCCAAAAUGGGCGCCUCCCACAAAGUAAUAUAUAUGUAAUCACACCAAUGCUCCAGACAUCUGAUUCAGGGCCUGAUCUGCGCUUGAGUACUUCGGGAGCAACAUAAUAAGCGCUACCAACAAUGUCAUGGAACUUUUUCCCUGAGAAAGAUUUGAGUUAUUUAUAACACACAAAUCAAGAGAAUAGGCAGGAGUGUAUAUUGAUAGCUUCUAAGUGUACCUGGUUUAAUAAAAUCCGAUAAACCAAAAUCUGUAGCCUUUAGAGGCGAAUCUAGUUUAUCUGAUUUGAACAAAAAAUUCUGCAACAGAAAUGGAAGAGGAGGAAAACAGAAGAUUGUUUAGAGAAAAAAAAGAUAGGCAACAUGAGGUGUUCCGUUAAGGGGUGAAGAGAAAGUGAACCUCUGGUUUCAUAUCUCUAUGUACAAGACCGUGGAGAUGACAUUCUCCAGCGACUUUGAGCAUCUGCCUGACGACAACAGCUGCAUCUUUCUCAGAGUAUCGACUAUCUUUCCUGGAGAAACAAAGAAAUGAGUAGAGUAAUAAGUUGUCUCUGAUAGAAGAGAUAGUGUUUGAAUAGAAGAGAGAGGAAAGAGAGGAGAUGCUAACUUGGAUAAGAUCCUGUCGAGCAAUUCGCCUCCCUCGCACAACCUAGUAAAAAGGGAAAGAGUGAAAUGAGGUUGCCUGAGACAUGGAAUGAACUUAAAGAGUCAUUGCAAAAAAAAAAAAGAGAGAAGGAAAAGGACUGACUCCAUAGCUAUAUAGACGUAGUCAUCAUCCUCAAAGGCAUUGUGAAACUGAACAACAUUCUCGUGGCCAGAAAGAGCUUGAAGUAUCUGAACCUCUCGCUUGACGUCCUCAACGGCAAUAGGAAGAACCAUCUGUGGGAAAGCAGAGCAGGAACGAUGAAGUCAGUAAUGGAAUCCGAUGCGUGUGGGAAUAAAAUGGAGAAUGAAUCAAAUCCACAGUUUUGAUACAUUCCCGAAACAAAGGGAACUGCAUUCUUUUUUGAGAAAGAAAUUAAAUAUAAAAACAAAUAAUAAUAAAUAGGGAUUGGAUUGGAUUGGAUCCCCAAAUUGAAGGGUGACGAAUCUUGCUACCUAAAGCCUAAAGGGUGGAGGUGGGGGAGAUGAUGAAAUUGGAAACAAAGAGGGGAAUCUGAAAAUAAUAAAGAGAAGGGGGCUUUGAAGAAUGAAGAUAGAGAGAGAGGGCUACUCAUCCUUAAAAAGAGAUAUACUGUAGUGUAUACCUUACUCUUAUCGAGUCUCUUAACGGCGACGCGAUCUCCAUUGGACUUGUCGAUGGCGACGUAGGUGUAGCCGAAUUGACCAUGGCCGAGUAGCUUGCCGAUGGAGUACUGGUCGUGGAAGUCUUUGGGGUAGCCAAAAUCAGUACGCUUGCCGCAGGGGAUGGAGCCGGUUCUGCUGCGCUUGGCAUCGAUGGCCUUGGGAUUCGGACAAGGAGAAGCAGCCUUCUUCUUCUUCUGGCACCCUUUUGUACGGUUAUGAUUGGUCGUCGUCUGACUACUUCUCCGACUGCUGCUAGCACCAGUGACUCUAAUGGCCGAGAAACACACCCCCAUGGCUCUCUCUCUCUCUGCUCCUACUUAUUCUUCUUCAAGAGAAACAAACAAACCAAGGGGGAGAAGAGGUGAGAGUGGAACAAAGAUUUGGGAACAAAUAAAAAAAAGAAAAGGUAAGGAGGAUUAAUAAUAAUAAUAGAAAGAAACAGAGAAGAAGAAGAAGAAGAAGAAGAAGAAGAGAGGAAGAGGGAUGGGGUUGAGUUGGUCAAACCCAAAGAGCGAGUGAAAGGAAAUAUCCUUCCCACUUCCUCCCUUUCCUUCUUCUUUUCCUUUUUCUUUUUCGUUUACAAACAAAAUGUGCUUACUGUGACUGUAUUAUUAUUAGUUUUUGUUUUGUAGUAUUGUAAUCAAAUAGAGUAACAUACACACACUUUCAAGUUUUUAACAUUAGCAUCAAAACAUAAUACUACUAGUCUAACUAGUAAUUAAUUAUGAGAUUUGUGGUACUUUUUAUUUAUUUAACCUUUAACUGCCAAUUCUCAUCUUCGUUUGACGACGACAAAAUAAUUAAAAUGGUUCAUGGUGUGAAAGCGAAGAAGACCCGAUGGCUAGUGCAGUGCUCCCCACGUGGGUCAUGAACCGACUUGAUGAUUCUCCUCUCUGUCUCUCUCUCCAUCCAAGAGUGAGUGAGUUUGUAUUAUUUGACACAUUUUUAAUACGACACCCUACACUACAUUACUACAUUCUUCUUCUUCUAACCAAAACUCCCCCCCUAGUUAAAACGUUGUAUAUGCGCAAUCAACCAUAAUUAAUUAAACUGUAGUAUUCUAUAUACUCUUUUUUUUUUCUUUUUUUUUUGUCGUCAAGUAUUCUAUAUACUCUAUGUAAAUCUUUUAGUAUAUCCUCUUCCUCUAUGCUGCUUUUUUUAGUCUACCAAAUUGACUUGGUCUUUUCAAACUAAUUAAAAUUUCCUAUUCUACUACCUACUUACUGUGUUAGACUUUAUUCUCUUUGUUCAUUAAUCUAAAUCAUGUAUUAGCCUUAUUCAAACUCUCCUUCCUUCUAAGCCGUAUUCCAGAGCGACGCUGAGAAUCCCACAUUCUCACGUACACGUUCUUGUUCCUUCCAACGCGCACAAACUUACUACCCUAUAUGCUCUUUUUCUUCCUCUCCCCUUUUUGCCUAUCUUUAUUAUCAUUUAGUCAUUUCUAUUGUAUUUAUUUACUUGGGCUAUUAAUUAAUCAUACUAUAUACUAGUACUACACUUUAGUACUCAUGAAGAUAUUUAUUUUAUUUUUUUGGGAGUGUGUAAUGAUGACGGCAGCCACUUACUUGGCAGUAUCAAUCUGAGCUUUUUCUUUUCUUUUAUAUCAAAUAUUUGUUUAUACUUGUCCAGAUAGAAAAACGUGUGCCCUGAGAUUUGCCUAUAAACUAGUAUUUUAUUUUAUUUUGCUAAUACUGUACAUAGUUCAUUAUACAACUUUUUUUUUUCUUUAAAAAAAAAAAAAAAAACAAAAAAAAUUAUUGCAAUACCAAGAAGAAAACGCCGAUUACAAGACGUAAACGGUCAACAUGGCUAUAGGCCUAGAUAAAAAAGAAAAGUCUGAAAAAAAAAUUAGAAAGAUACAAGGGCUAAGACCCAACAAGGCUACAGGCCCAAUACAAAAAGGGAGGAAAAAUUACAAGGCCUAAAAAGGCCACAUGCCCAAACGAGGAAGAACAACAACAAACCAGCUCUUGUAAGAUCUCACGACUUCGAAACGCCUCGAUUCAUUAUACAACUUGGGGAACCCUCUCACCAAUUCUGAUCACUAGUGAUCCCCAACCGGGCUUUCUAACUGUUUAUGGGCCAGGAUCAUUUAUUUUUGCUCUAACUAAAAUUACAUGUAUGGUUGGUUGAAGUAUUCAGAAUUUUGUCAUUUGCAGGGUUUUUUUGGUGUGACCUCUCUUUUUCUGCCUACGCUUCCUAAACCAACCGACUCACUUUUAGUUCUUUCUCACAACAAAUUUAAUCCCAGAAAACCUACGCUACUUUAUAGUUUGUACCCACCCCUUUCAGAUCCUAUUGGGUGAUACACAUCAAUAUUCAACGAGAGAAAAGUCACCACCAUAUAUCAUAUAUAUGUCGCUCGCCAGCAAUCUCUUAUCACCAAGUAAGUCGCCCGCUUUCGUUACUUUCUCCCCUUAAUUUGUGGGCAUGCAUUUAUGGGAUUUCACUAUUCCAGGGACACUUUUGUGUCUGUCCAUAUAUACAUACUAUUGAUUGAAUUUUCUUUGUUGAAACUAAAAAAUAAUAAACUAGACUUGAGUUGGUCUUCCUCGUCGCCGAUGCCGUUACCUUCCGUGACACCACUACAUGUCGACGCAUUUAAUUUUCCUCCUGCUGUUGCGUCCCCCGCUUCCCACAAAAAGCUUUUCCUCGGUGGUGCAGGUUAGCAUCUAUCAAAGUGGACCUCUGAAUCAGAGGCUCUGAUGAUGAGUUUGUCGAUCUAUACUGUAAUGCUCGCUCGCGUAGCUUCCUUUCUUAUAUAAACACAUGCAUGUAUGUGUUGGCUUUACUUGCGCAACGCAGGAAUACGAUGGUUUGAUAUUGAGGGCAAGUUCGUGAUCGUCACGGUCAUCGGAGUCUACCUAGAAGCUAUGGCAGUCCCGUCACUCUCCGUUAAGUGGAAAGGCAAAAAUGCAAAGGAGUUAACGGACUCCGUCCCUUUCUUCCGCCAACUCGUCACAGGUUUUACUUUAUUACGUGCAAAAACACUUUUGUGCCUCGAGUUCACGUACUUCACGCGAUUUGUGUAGUUAUUUAUAUGUUCAACUUAAACACGUUAUAGAAUGUAUGUUACCUUUUAUUAAUGUUUUAUGUUUCUGUUAAUUAAUUUAUUUUCUUUUUUUCUUGUGGGAGAAAAGGUGAGUUUGAGAAAUUCGCAAGGGUGACGAUGAAAGUGAAAUUAACGGGGACACAAUACUCGGAGAAAGUAGUAGAAUACUGUGAGGAGAUCUUGAAAGCGUCAGGGAAGUACACAAGAUCUGAAGCCAAAGCCAUCGACAAAUUCUUGGCGAUCUUUAAAGACCAAGAUUUCCCUCCAGGCUCUUCGGUCUUCUUCGCUCUCUGCUCAGUAAAAGGCUCUCUCACGGUGAGUGAUUGAUCUGCUUGUUUGCUCUGUUUAUCGUGUUUUUUUUUUUUUUUGAUAAGUAGGGUAAUAUAUCGAUCGAGAGUGAAUGAAUGAAUACGUACGAUGACGUAACUUGUGAAUCAGAUUGCGUUUUCGAAAGACGAGAGGGUGCCGAGAAGUGGCAAAGCGGUGAUCAAGAAUAAGUUGUUGGGAGAGGCAGUGCUCGAGUCUAUGAUUGGGAAGAAUGGCGUUUCCCCUGCAACCAGGAAGAGCCUCGCUGAGAGAUUAUCUAAGCUGAUGAACAACAGCGACCAACAUGCUCAAGCUAAUAACAAGGUUCCUUCACAGGAUUAAAAAUUGUAUUCCAACUCGCUUCCCCAAGGCCCAAUCUUGUGGUGUUUAUAAACUAGUUUAAGUAAAUUAAGACAAGUAAAAAUAGAUUGAUGUGAACUUUAUGACCAUCUUAAUUAAUAGUAUUCUCCUUCUUCUAAAUUACUUGCCUAUUUUUUAAUGUUGUUUCUGAUUUUUUUCCAAUUGGAUCUAUAAUUAAAAAAACUUAACUAGAUACACUUGGAAUAAUUUGAGUUUAAGGCGGAAAAAGAAAAGGAGUUUAAAAACAAGAUGGGCCUUGUAUAAAAACCGUGGGGAUAAUAUAUAGUGGCCUAAUAAGGGACGCGAAAGGCCCAUUAAUAAUCCCAAGGGAAGGGAAACGUUUAGGAAAUAACACAACGGCUAGUUUUCAGAAAAGGCUCCUUCCAUAUGUGUGUGUGUACACAACACAACACAACGGCUACUUUCAAAAACCCUGCAGAAAAGGUUUCUCUAAGAAAAUCAAUAUAUAUAUAUAAUAACGCCAUUGUUGCCAACGCCACAAAUACAAUCACUUUAGUCUCAUAGCUUUCCCUUUCUCUCCUUCUCUCGGCUCAGUUUAUCCCAGAAUUCUUUCUACUCUUUACUUUGCUUCUCAGAUUCAAUAGAGUUGUGAAUCGUAAUGGAAACACCAUCAUCCACAAGAAGAGUCACGAGGUCUCAGACCCGUGCUGCCACCAAUCAUCUCUUGUCCUCCAGUAAGCCUCUCUCAUAUUCUUCUGUUGGUUUCUCGAUCCCAAUUUUGAAUCUAUAUAUAUGGGAAUGGGGGUUUCUUGGUCGAGAUUCUUGAUUCUCGGGUUUUGUUUCGUUUUAGUCAUAAGGUUUCUUCUUCUUGGCCUUUAUUUCUUGUGGAUCUGAUCCUUUUUAUUUUGGUUCUGUCUUCCAGAGAAACCAGAGGAGUCGGACAAAAGCCAAUCAAAGUCUGUGCAAAGGAACGGUGGAAAAUCACAUCAAGAUUGUAGGUCGGCUUUGUUCGACAUAACCAACGACUCGCCGAUCGUAGGUGUGGCGAUGCAGACGCCAUCUUCAGGAAAGAGGAAUAUGAGCAGAAUCAAGAGCACUCCUGGAUCUGGCGAGGCUCUCUUGAGGGGCCAAGUCAAGACCCUCUUGCAGAAGGUUGAAGAGGAUGCUGAUCUCACCAAGAUUUCUAUGGAAUCUCGUCCUUUCAUCCAUCUUGUUACUUCUCCCAUGGGCCUUCUCGCUCCCACUCCGGCCAACACCCCCCAAGUUCUCGAUUUCUCCGUUGACAACGAUGUGCAGAUUGUGAUCACGUCUCCGGUUGUUGCCGGACAGUUCAGAACACCAUCUCAUCAGGUACAAAUCAAAGAAAACUACAUGUAUAUAUUGGAUUCUCUCUCUCUCUCUCUCCCUCUCUAGGUGGAAUGGAAAGAGGUUAACUUGAUGUCCUGUUGUUACAGGUGGUGGUGGGAAGCAACAUGUUUGAUGAGAAAGAAGAGAGCUUGGAGUUAGAGAGGAGCCAGAGCAUAACGCGAUCAUUGCUGCUCGACUUUAGUGAUAAAUCGGAAGGGUGGGAGAGCUCAGACUGCUCCUCUGUGGUGACUCAAAACCCAGAGGAUGAUAACUCAUCGGUGUGGUCGAUGCAAGUCAAUGCAAGUACCAAAGACGAAGACGAGGAUGAGGAAGCGUAUUCAUACUACGACGAGGAAGAGGAGGAUGUGUUGUGUGAGGGAAUGAGAAAAAUGAGAGUAGACACCGAAUUUGCAGGGAAACACACUCGAUUCGUGUACGACAGUGAAGAUGAGGACAUUGUGGAAGGCAAAGAGCAAUCUCCCGGAGUGUUGCGUCUGAAGGGUGUUCCUACACCAGCAGGAAAACAUGUCAGAUUUGCCGCUGAUGAAGCAAUGAGCACCUCCUCCUCCUUUUGAUUUUCGACUUGUGUCCUAAAGGGUGUGACAUAUAUCCUCAAAAUGUCUCGCCGGCUUUUCAUAUAUGAUGAACUGCAACUUUUCUUUUUGGCUGUUGUUUGUUGCCUUUGCUUUCCUUCAUUUGAUUCCCAAUUCUGAUUCUUUGGGCCUCACUCUUUAUAUAUGAUAUGCCUUGUUAUUUUCAAUAACUCAAAAAAGGCCUUUUAAUUGGAGUCCAUCAAAACUCCCUUACACUUCAAAUAAAAACCGGACUUAACCGAUAUCAAGAUUCAUAGAAAGUUGCAUUAGAACAUCAUCUGCAGAUUAGUAGAGUAUUCUUGUUUCAUUGGUCCGUGGAUUCUAGUGCAAAUAUAUUCGAUAAAUUAUUUGGUUCUUUUCUCAUAUCAAGUAUUAUAACCACUGUACUUGGUCAAUUACGAAUAGACUACUACCAUGUUAAUAUUAUAUAUUACUAUAGGAUUAUUUAAGUAUCGGAUAUCCCCAUGAGCUGUACUUUUCGUUUUCGACAUAGACGACCGGAGACAAUUAACAAAUCCAUGUUUCUUUAUUUUUUCAAAACUUGUCUACAUCUUAGGAUGAUCAUAUCUAUCUAUUAUAUACAUCUCUCUUUCAGCCUUUGGUAUUGGCCGGUGAGUCGGCUCCAAUGUUUAACAAGGCAAUGAAAUGAAGUUGUCUUAGGUAUAUACAAUUCAUGCUUUAUACUGUAUGUAUGCAGAUUAAGUCUGUGAUUAAAAUUGGUUAAAAAAAAAAUUCCACAUGUGACCAUCCAUGUGAAAAUAAUCAGACGUCCGUCAGUAAAGAUAAUGACACACCCGCAAUUUCUAUUAAUUAUGCAGCGAAGCCUUGAGACAACUCCCUUCAACUCUGCCCCAUCUUGUAAAUCCAUCCUUAGACACAAUUCCUCCCCUGCCCAUUCGAUACAAGUAUGGUGUCUAUAUAUAUAUAUAUGUUUUUGUGACUACCAAGUAGACUACAAAUUUAUCUCUGAAAAUAUAUGAGCCACCUAACCAAAAAAGAAAAAAGGCUUUAAAUGCGUAUUUGCAUGCGAAUGAGAUAUGGUCUUAAAAUGUCCCGACCAUGUUAUAAACACACACAUAACAUUAAAUGUACCACACCAUUCACCAGAAUUGAAACUUUGCCGGCCUUAAAGAAAGGAUUGGUUAUAGCUUUGAUAUACUCCACAGUAGUUAUUAGUAUAUUGUUGGAAUUUGGAAGUCUCAGCAACAACACUAGUCGUCCCAUCCAUUAGUAUAACCAAAAAAAAACCAUUUUGAUAAAAUAAAAACUGAGCCUCUAUUUUUCGACCAUUAGAUUCUCGGUCGUCUAUCGUGUAUAAAUAAAAAAACCCCACAUGCGACAGCUGAUGAGGAGAACAAAUUUAAUCAUCAAAGCUUAUUGAUUAUUGUAUAUGAAGACGAGGAACUCCGGCGCCGGAUGUGUGCCACGCGUAAAAAGCAACCCCAGAAGAACCAACAGUACAGAUCGGGAGAUUAGUGUUACCCCUUUGACUCUCCUCGACCGUUUUCGGGAAGCAGUUCUCCGCCUCAUCAUGAUCUCUGCCGUCUCCAAGGCGUCCGCAUCACCUAGCCGCCGGCGUAGCAAACAGCCGCAGACACAAAAGUAUUAUAAGCAGGCAACCGAUACAUAUCACAGCGAAGCCGUGGCCGACUGUAUUGAGUUUAUCAGAACCAAGAAGGCCAUCCACGACCACGGCGAGGAAAACUCCCGCUAGUUAACGUCGUCGUCACUUGUCUUCUCUUAUUAUUAUUGUCCGUCGUCUGUUGCUUAAUUAGUAGAAAUCAUGAACAGGUGAAAUAAAAGUUACCGUACUUGCAUAUUGUGUAUAUUACGCCUUAUUUUUGGGAUUUAUAUAUAUAUAUCGUUGGUAUCAUUUAGUUAAGUUGAUAUUUUUGUUACCGUAUAUAAGAACGGUAAUUAACAAUAUAAAAUAGAAUUAUAGAAUAACAUAAAACUUGGUAUAUUUGGUUUUGUAAAGCUUGGUUCUGUUUCGUGAUUUUAUAUAUCACUCCCAGUUUGUAAUUUACAUGGCUGAUUGAUUACGNNNNNNNNNNNNNNNNNNNNNNNNNNNNNNNNNNNNNNNNNNNNNNNNNNNNNNNNNNNNNNNNNNNNNNNNNNNNNNNNNNNNNNNNNNNNNNNNNNNNNNNNNNNNNNNNNNNNNNNNNNNNNNNNNNNNNNNNNNNNNNNNNNNNNNNNNNNNNNNNNNNNNNNNNNNNNNNNNNNNNNNNNNNNNNNNNNNNNNNNNNNNNNNNNNNNNNNNNNNNNNNNNNNNNNNNNNNNNNNNNNNNNNNNNNNNNNNNNNNNNNNNNNNNNNNNNNNNNNNNNNNNNNNNNNNNNNNNNNNNNNNNNNNNNNNNNNNNNNNNNNNNNNNNNNNNNNNNNNNNNNNNNNNNNNNNNNNNNNNNNNNNNNNNNNNNNNNNNNNNNNNNNNNNNNNNNNNNNNNNNNNNNNNNNNNNNNNNNNNNNNNNNNNNNNNNNNNNNNNNNNNNNNNNNNNNNNNNNNNNNNNNNNNNNNNNNNNNNNNNNNNNNNNNNNNNNNNNNNNNNNNNNNNNNNNNNNNNNNNNNNNNNNNNNNNNNNNNNNNNNNNNNNNNNNNNNNNNNNNNNNNNNNNNNNNNNNNNNNNNNAAAAAAGGAAGUUUGGACCUUUGGAAAUAAAACGACUAUUUGUAGCCGGUUCGGUUCCCGGUUGACCAAAAGCAAACCACAGUAUGGAAAGCGCAUGCAUCACAUGGGCCUAUAUCUUACCACUUAAGAGAGCCCAUACUCAAAAAGUUUGGCCCAAUCAGUAGGCGUUUAGGCAGGCGGUGGGAGACGUCGAGCAAGGCUUAGGGCUUCUACAGAUCACCGGCGGUAUUGGUCUUCGCGUCGGAGCCAUGGUUGGUGAGUGCAAUCGGUUUGGUGUCAUGGGGUUAUCUUCUUUUUCGGUGGUUUAACAUGUAAUUGAUUUUCAAUUGCAGAGAGAGAGGAGCGAGUUUCACUGGAACUCAGCGAAGAAAUUAUACAGAGCAUGGAACCUGGCGCCGUUUUCAGAGACUAUGUAAUUUCUCCUUACUUACCCCUUCUCUCCGAUUUUGUGCCAUUGAAGGUUUUUCAAGAAGAAAGCUUUUUGUUUGUUUGGUAAUCAGAAUUGCAGGAUCAGCUCCAUUGACUUUCACAAAACUUCUACUUAUAUGGUCACUGCUAGCGACGAUGACUCAAUUCGUCUCUAUGAUGUUGCAUCCGCUACGUGAGAUCUUUCAACUCCAAUACUUUGCCUUGGGACACUUUUCUCUGUUGAACAAUCACAACUUUGUUUUUCAGUGUUUCGUUUUCUUGUUUCAGAUGUCUCAAGACUAUCAAUAGCAAAAAGUACGGUGUUGAUCUUGUUUGCUUCACUUCCCAUCCCACAACUGUCAUCUACUCUUCCAGAAACGGAUGGGACGGUGAGCCCCUAUUCAUGUGCAUUGCUUUCCAUUUCCUCUUUCUCUCAUUUUCUUUUACUAACUUCCAUAUCUGUUUAGACUCUCUGAGGCUUCUCUCUUUGCACGAUAACAAGUACUUGCGUUACUUCAAAGGACAUCAUGACAGGUUUCUUUCUCUUCUUCUGCUACUUUUUUCAUUUUUUUUAUUUCAUUACCGGAUCCGUGAUUAAUCCCUAUAUUUUAUACCGCAGAGUUGUUUCGCUUAGCUUGUGCUCUGGUGGGGAGUCCUUCAUAUCCGGUUCUCUUGACCGAACUGUCUUGCUUUGGGAUCAAAGGGUCGAGAAAUGUCAGGUACAUUACCUUUUUUCUCUUAGCCUAGGUGCUUUUGGAGUUCUUACAUCAGUCACCACCUUAUCCGAUUGAACAUUUGGUUUAAACAUAGGGUCUCUUACGAGUCCAGGGAAGGCCUGCUGCAGCUUAUGAUGAUCAAGGGUUAGUUUUUGCAAUUGCCUUUGGUGGCUACAUAAGAAUGUUUGAUGCCCGUAUGUACGAAAAGGUUUGUUAUUAUGCUACCAAUAAUCCUUCUCUUCUUUUGCAGCUUGAUGGACCACCUAUAUUCACUUUCCUUAUUAUACAUUCACCUUCUUCUAAAUUCUCUUGCACAGGGUCCUUUUGAAAUAUUUUCCGUUGGAGGUGAUUUUUCUGAGGCAAAUGUUGUCAAAUUUAGUAAUGAUGGAAGGCUCAUACUGCUCACAACCAUGGAUGGCUAUAUUCAUGUGCUUGACUCGUUUCGUGGAACCCUCGUAUGCCUUUUUUUUUUUUUCAUUUUCAGAAACAUGACAAAAACAUACAUAAACAGGUUACGUGACUCUCUUUUUUUUUUCCGGUCAAUUACGUUACAGCUAUCCACUUAUAAUGUGAAACCAGUAGCUGAAGAAUCUACAUUGGAUGCAACCUUCAGUCCUGAAGGGAUGUUUGUUGUUUCAGGUAACAUCUGAGUUAUAUCUGAUUUGGAUGAUGCAUAAUUGCACUCACACACGUCCUCACAGUCACAUUUAAAAAAAACCCUUAUUGAUGAUUUUCGUCAUCCAUCCGUAUGGUAGGUUCAGGCGAUGGUAGUACCCAUGCAUGGGGUGUAAGGAGCGGAAAACAGGUCGGUGGACUAGCAAAGUAGCUGUAGUUUGUCGUUCCAUGGAAAGUUUGUUGCAUUUUGUAUGUUUUAUGUGUGCUGACUGGAUCAUUGUAUGUGUGUAGGUACAUAGUUGGAUGGGUAUAGGCAGUGAGCCCCCAGUUAUAAAAUGGGCUCCGGGAAGUCCAAUGUUUGUGACAGGCUCUUCAGAACUUGCUUUUGUAAUCCCUGACUUAUCAAAGUUGCCAGCUUACUCCAUAAGGAAAUAGGAGUGACAUUGACUGUAAUGUGCCAUGUAAAGGAGUCUAGUCUUCCUCAGUUAGGCAUUGGUUGAGACAGUGGUGUUGGUGAAGCCGGUAACUUAUUACGAUUACUACUUUGUUUGUCUUGUAUUCUAACAAGUACCCCUAAAGAUAGAUAAAUCUCAAGUCUCAGCAGACUGUUUCUGUCUGAUUGAUUCUUCCACAAGAUUAAAUUCGGUAAGCAAUCGAUCUGAGAGGAGUAAGUUAAAAUAGUGGGCCGACACAAGUAAAGGCCCAAUAAAAGCCCAAGUUCGAACAAAAGCGGAGUUAGGAAUGUUUGUUGCCGUCAGAUAAAGGAAAACUGAUUAGGGAGGAAACUUUGUGAAUCUGUCUCUCUCUGUUUCUGCUCCGAAAGGGACAAAUUAAUAAGAGACGCGUGUUGUUUUUCUCUUAAUCCAUAAAGCCAACGAGACCCGCAUUUCAGAACCGAGUCAACCCGACCCGCCUUCGUCUCCUCUCCCUCGAUUGAUAGGCCGGUGCCUCCCGAAAUCACUGGGAAAGUCCAUCUAGGUUUGUCAUUUCAUUUUUCCUAGUCACAGUUUUGUUAUAAGGAUUACGUUUAUUUUUUAAAAAAUGUUGUUUGGGUUGUGUGUUGCGAUUGAUCGUUGUUGAAAUGUUUCGAGUCAAAUCGGUUCUUGAAGGUUUCUUGAUUUUGACUUUUUUCUUUUUUCUUUUUUGAAGUCAAUUUCCCCAUUCCUAAACUUGCUGGAUGUUCAACUUGAAUGCAUUCUCAUUUGUAUGUUUCUUACCGAUUUCAGUUUCUUUUGGGAUCAAGUAUGGCUGCAAAGGAACUGUUUUCUACCUCAAGCUUAGAAUCGAAGAUGACUGAGGAUCAUCACAUCUUGAUGCCAGCUAUGGAUAGGAGGAGCCCCUCCUCCACCGUCAGUGUUCUCCAAGGCAAUUUCCUUACUGUUGAGGACUCUGCUCUCCUUCCCAAAGAGGAAGAGAUUGAUAUUCUCUGGAGUCGUGUUAAAACUGCUACAGCGUUAUUGUCCUACCUGAAAUCGAAGGCAACUACUGUGGCUGCUGCUGAUUUGGCCUGUCUAUCUCUCGGAACUGACCACCUCCGAGGAUCCACCGAUGGACAUGAUGCCACUUUUGUCACUGAGAUGCUCAACCAUGUAGAGACCGUUACAGGCGUCAUGGAGUCUCUGGCUAGGCGUGCUAUAGUCGCCGAAUCACAAGCCGCAAUUGAAAAAGCCAAACUUAUAUUAAGUCAAGAAGAAAUUCAAAGAAAAGUUGGCCAAAUCGACAACAUGUCAACCAUGUUGGCGGACAUGGAAAAGUUUGCUCUUGGGACCAGUAGUAUUCUCUGUGAGAUGCGCCAGAGGGUUGAUGAUUUGGUCGAAGAGACGUCUAGGCAGAAGCUUAGAGCUACCGAAAAUGAGCAGGAACUCAGUCGUGUCAGGAGAGACUUUGAGUCCCUCAAAUCCUAUGUUACAAGUCUCAUCAGCGUCAGAGAAACACUCGUCUCAUCUGAGAAGCAGUUCCAAACAAUCGAGAGACUUUUUGAACGGUGAGCAUGUCUUCUACUUCUUUCUUGGCUUUCCAUCAACUCAUUGCUUAGGCUUUAUAAUUUGCAAAUUUUAUCAUCAUUCCAUUAAUUUGCCUAGUCAUUGUGUAGGCUCUAGAACUUGUCUUUGGUAGUUGAUAACCAUCACAGACGAGAUUUGAUAACCAUCACAGACGAGAUUUAUCAUCGUGGGAUUCUGAUGAUGUUUUACUCUAUUCUUAGGUGUUUGAUAACGACUAGUCUCAAAAACUUCAUACUUGUUUGUGUAUCAAAUAGUGACAUAUAUAUUUCCUUCCCUAUUGUGAUUUUGAGUUCAUGGCUGUCAAUGAUGAUGAAACAGGCUUGUUGCCAAGACAACGCAGUUGGAAAGCGAGAAAGUACAGAAAGAAGCAGAAGUUCAGAAACUAAUGGAAGAGAAUGUAAGACUGACGGCUCUUGUGGACAAGAAAGAGGCACAGCUACUGGCCAUGAAUGAGCAGUGCAAAAUGAUGGCCCUGAGCUCUAUAUGAUGGCUUAUAGAUGAAGAUUGCUACUUUUUCUUUCUUCCACAUGUAACAUCAAGAAAUCCUCAUUUGAUACAACUGCCAUGUUUGUUGAUAUCCAAAAGGCAAAAAAAUAUAUAUAUUGGUCCUUGGAAGACUCUAUAAAUAUGUUAAUAUACAUUCUGUGCUUGUUAAAUUGCAUUAUGGUUUGGCUUGCUCCAGGGUUUAGGGUUUUAGGCUUGAUGGAAUUGGUUGGGACAUCAUCAGCUUCUCUAUGAUAGAAUCUCAAAACCAAUUGGGUUUGGUCGGACCGAGAGGACGGUAAUGAUUGGCGGCUGCACGAGACUGUAUGGGCUUUCUGUUAUAUUUCCGUUAAUGGGGUUUUGUCUGUAAUACAUCAUUGCUCCAUUUCUUUCAUCCACAGAACAUGAAGAGCCGUCGUCGCCCAUGUUCUCUUCGUCAAUCUGAAAAUCACAUAUAUAUAUAUUUUUUUUAUAUCUAUACUUUGUGGUAGAUGUAACUUCUUCACUCACCAUGCACUGUGAAGUUACAUGAUCUUAAUCUAUACAAAUAUGGGGAACUCACAGUUUAAAUUGUCACACAUAUCCCAAGAUUGUAUAGUGGUAUUAGUUUUUAAUGUCUUUUAGAAUGACAUAGAACAUAUAUAUCUAAACUAUACAUGUCUAUAAUGGAAAAGUGUUGCACAUGGUGAGUCCCAUAACGUUGAAACAUUAUGUUAACACACAGUUUAAUUCUCUAUGAAUAACAUGUGAAAAUAUAUAUUUUAUAUAUUCCUCAUCAUAUACAUAUGUGCGUAUAAAUACGAGUCACCACCACCUCUAUCUCGUUAUCUAUAUAGUCAAACGGAGGAGAAGCGAAAACACAGAGACCCAAAGAAAAAGGAUCUUUGCCAUAGAUGGGAGUAGAAAGGGGAAGUGGAAAGGCUCUGAAGAAGAUGUUGAAGAGAUGUUCGAGUUUGGGGAAGAAGAGUAACGUUGACGUUAGCUUUAGCGGCGUCCCCAAAGGUCACUUCGUCGUAUACGUUGGUCAUUCCAGAUCCCGACACGUCAUCCCCAUCUCCUUCCUCACGCACCCCAUCUUCCAGGUCUAAUAUAUAUAUAACCUGCAUGGAUCUUCUUCUCAUUAAUUGAUUGCAUCCCAUGUGUAUAAAUGUUUGAUGCUUAUAUAUAUAUUUGAUGUUCAUGAAACAGAUGUUGCUGCAACAGUCUGAGGAAGAGUUUGGGUUCUUCCAAGACAAUGGACUAACCAUCCCUUGUGAUGAGCAAUUCUUUCGAUCACUUAUUUCCUCCAUUAAUCCUUGAAGAAGAGAGCAUGGCUAUAUAUGUGCCUAGCUACUUGUGUAUAUCGUCAUAUAUUUUCGUCCUAGAUUAGUUCUCUCAUGUAUUCAUAUUGCAUGAUGUCCUUUGAGAGUUGUAGAGUUCACGUUACGUAAGUACUUUUGUUUAUUUAACCUCAUUUUCUCGGAUGAUUCUAAAACCAAAGGCGUUACAUAUACAAAUUGUAGGGCAGAAGCUAUAAACAAAGGACAGAUCAUACAGCAGAACUACAUAUAUCGCAUCUCUCUAUCAUUUCUUUUUUUGUAUAUUAUGAUUGGACGCCUCCACCAUAAUGCUGUCCUUUUGCAAUUCUAUAUACAUAUAUCCCUAUAACAUCAACAAAUUGUCGCUCUCGACACGCUUGGACCCUUUCUCCACCAAAUAGAGAGGGUCACUGGCCACACAUAGUUCUCUCAACACACGACCAAAAUUGUCAAAGUUUUGAUAUUCUAUAGUUACUACUAUUCGAACAUAUAGAUGCUAUUCUUAUUCAUUUGAGUAUUUGGUCUUUGUAACUAUAUAUUCUACUUCACACCCAGUAAACGCGCAUGAUCAUAUGUGUAUACACGACACAUCACCUACGACCUACCUUGAAAGUGGACUUUAUCCAUGAUGAUGUCACGGCCGGAUCGGAUAAGCCCUAGUCACAAAAACAACAAUGUUUUCAGAUUUCUAUUUUUUCAUUAUAUGAUGUUAAACAAAUCUUGGAGGUGGUAUAUAUGUCACCACCACCACCACAAAAACAUGACAAGAGAUUUUCCAUGUCACUAUAAAAUUUCAGAUUAUUUUGCAAAACCAUAUAAUUUAUACAAGUAACGUCUUCUAUAUCGCACAGACUUCGGACACUUGGCUCCCUAUAAGUAUGAUUUCAUCGUGAUAUUAAUAUUCGCAUCGUAUAGGUGGUGACGUAAUUGACAUAGCAACGAUCAACUGUUCUUAGCAAUUGAUAUUCAUGACUUGAUCAAACUAUAUACUAUCUAAUUAACUACCAUCCAAAAUUCUAAUCAUUCAUUUAUAUCGCGUGAAAACAAAAACUUAAGUAACCGUUUCAGUUAAUCGUUAUGCAUUAUACACAACAUGUACUUUUGGAUAAACUCGAAGUCUUUAAUCAUCUAUGUAUUUGGUAACACCAAUCACAAAUCAUAUUUAUUGGUGUAUAACUAUUUAUUAAAAUAGAACAGACAAGAAAUUGUGAGUUUUAGUUGAGAGGAGGUGUGGGGUUCUCAUGUCGGGUGGUCUCUUAUAUGUGAGCUUUUUCUACUGAUUUGCCCAUUGUUUCCCUCUUCAUAUAAUUGAUUGUCACCAAAUAUAAUCUUGGCAUAAAAAUGGUUUUAUGAAACCUUAAGUCUUGUUUUCACUAGAUUAAUUAACAAAAUAGAGACUAAUGUGGUUAUGUUUCAUUGAUUCUAAUUUCUUUUCAUUUGGAUGAACUCUCUUAAUGUGUUAAUCCACAGAUUAUAAAGUUAUAUUACAUAUAUAAAUUAAUGGUAGAAAAAGUGGACUAAUCUCAAGUGAUAUCAUCAACUAAUAAUAUAAUGGAUCCGUGUGCUUUAUAAAAUAGGACGGCUACAAAAAUGCUCAACUUUCCAAAAUUCUUUGUCGAAGUUAUUAAAGUAUUGGCCUUCUGUAGAUAUAGAUGGCCAAAAGAAAUGUAACUGCAAAGGGUAAACCAAAAAAACAAAGGACAUGAUGACUAACUUUGAGAAACUAGUUUAUCAGAAUUUGGAUGAAGCUAUUUACCAAUAUUUCAAACAUGAUUUGGGUUAAGUUUGAGUGAUAUCGUAGCAUGUUUACGAUCCAUACUUAAGUCUCUUAGCUUUGGGAAAACGAGGAGCAACAUCAGCCCACAACCUUUUAGAGCGGUCGUGAAGAUACAAGCAACUCUCGCCGAGCCUACACCCUUUGGCUCUGUUAAAAAACAUGCACUGUUUCUGAAUCUUAACCUUUACGACUUUCAUAUCAUCAACUCUACCUUUGUAAUUGUUAUUUUGAUUUGUUGCCGGACUGACUCCCCCAUGUUCCCUAAUGAGGUUCUUGAAGUAGUCUAGGUUUUUCACAGGCUUUGCAGAAACCUGAUCAUCCCGGUUUAUAUUACCAUUACGGAUUUGAAGAUCUGUUUCAGUCUGAGCUGAUUCCGGUAUCCUAUUGAUAUCCCGAGUGCUGGAAGCGGACACGUUAAGGGAUUGGGUCUUUUGUUCCGAGACUAGAACAUUUUCAACUGGGCUUGGUUUCAAUGGAGCAGCUGUGUAAGAAUCUUCUUCUUCAACUCUUGUCAAUGGUUUGAUGCCAGAAGACAAUGGAACUAGGGUCGGUUUCAUUGAUAGAGCAGUCGACAUGGGCUGAGUGGGUUUGGGGAGUGGAGGAACCGUAGCACUGGACUGAACCGGAACAUGUACAUUGUGUGGCACACCAUUUCUAGGUAUGUGAAGUCUAGGAUUGGUGAUGUCAGUGUUCAUACUGUCACCAUUUGCGGUUUCAAGUGGUUUACUAUUCAUGUCAUUCAACAAGUUGGCGACGAUUUUGGGGUCACUGAGUAACUUGACAAGUAAAGCAGCAUCGACCUGACAGCCCUGUUCCUUGGUUAAGGCAGACAAAGCGGCAGAAGCAGCGAGACUCAACUCAGGUCCAAGUAGAGAAACAGCUGAAGGAGCCUCGAAAUGGUGCGAAGAAGAUUGCAAAGCAGUAGCACGAUCGUCUUCAAUGGGAGUGAGACGGAUAAUAGGAGUAUUGCUGUCGUCAUAGUGGGAUUGUUCUACAGCCGGUGAGACGGAAGGACUAGAGAGAGAGAUAAGAGAUAAUUAGUAGUGCAUUGGCACAAAAGAAAGGUCGUCUAAGAUUAAAGAAAAACAAACAAAAUAUAUACCGAGCAGGGAUGACAGAGCGGUGAGGAUAGAAAGCUUCCAAGACUUUAGCGAUCCUCAAAUUCUCGGAAGGAGUUUCGGUGCUGUCACCACCAGUCCCGACAAGGAAAGCAUCAUCGAUGAUAAACUGAUGAGUCGGAUAAAGAAAGAAACAGAGUUUUUUUGAGAAAUUAAGAAAAGAAAGAAAGAUACCAAAAAAAAAAGUUUAGGAUAGGAAUAGAAAAGACCUUGGGUGGGGGUAUCCAUUUGAUGAGGGGAAUGGUAGAGGUACGCCUGGAUGCGUAGUCAGAAGCUUCAAAUCCAGGUGGAAGAUUGGAUGAUGCAACUUCAGCGGGACAAUCAUCAGUUAGAAACAUCUUCACCUGUUUGUCACAUUUUUGUUUUAGUCAGUAAGUGCAAGUCUCCUCUCAGCAGCCACAACGUCGUUUUCAAUUCAUAUACUAAAAAGAUAUGAAAAAAGGCAACCCUCCUCCUAGAUGUUUCACUAUUUCAGGAUCACAAACUUUCUCAAAAUUAUUAAAAUCCACAUUUGUUUGUUUGUUGUUCUUUUUUUUUUUUUGGGGGCAUCUCUUUCUUGCAGUUGUUUAAGCCUCUCAACGUAUUCAUUCUCUGCUACGGUAAACUUACUACAUGGGUGGUUCUACUUUGGACCACAUCACAUUACAAUUCAAGAUUACAACCAAAAAAACAUUAAAAAAAGAUAUGUUGCUUUGAGGAGGAUUGACUUAUCAUAAUCGAUUCAAUUAAGCAAAAAAAAGAAUAAGUGAAUAAUUAAAUCAGUCAAAUCAAAUUAAAAAAAAAAAUAUCAAAAAGGAUUGGUGACGACUGAUAUUGUGAAUGUCCGAAUUAAACUUGAAUUUGACUUUGGGGGAGGUCUGAUGAUUAAAAGAUAAAAAGGAGUAAGGAAGAUCUCUAUCGGGAGACGAAUGGAAUGGAAUGGAAUGGAAUGGAGUGGCCAAAAAUACCUGAGAAAGCAAACUAUCUGAUGCCCAUGACACUCUUGAUGAUUUCUUCUUCCCUGUUUUCUUCAUAUUACUAUUCCCUAAAACUUCAAAUAAAGACUACUUUUUCUUUUCUUUUUUUGGGGGUCAAAGAGUCAAUAAGAAACCAAUUCACUCUCAGAAACGAAACGACUAGUAUUAGUAGUAAUCCUCUCCCUAUUUGAGGAAUAAGAAGAGACGUCGGCGAUACGAUUUGUGUUGUGUGGAAUGAGAGAGAGAGAAAGAUGAUACAGUAAUUGAAUCCAACCCCAAAACUAAAAAAAACAAAUAAAACCCUAACAGUCGCGCACACCCUUUUUUUUUCUUUUUCUUAAUUACUCUUUUUAUUUUUAUUUUCUUAUAACUCUAAUGGGUUAAUAUACCUAUAAAUGGAGGCGCUGAUUGGCUCCCACCAUUCCUAAUCAUAUUUUUAAUUUACUUAUUAUUACUCUCUCGACGAUUUAUUUUACCCACUCACAUUUAAUUAUUCACAAUAAACUCCCUUUUUAACGUUACGUUUUUCUUUUCUUUAUUCCUUUAAAUUUUGAAAUUUGAAUCUUAUUAAUUUGGAGUAUUUACUAAAGUAGAAAUCGCGAACAAAAAAUAAAGCGGCCUUUCAAGUGCGGCAGUACAAAGUUAAGUGGGCAUUUAAUAGAAGUCUGUGUGCUGGGCCACAAAAGGGCUUUGAGGUGCAGGCCAAAUUUUAGUGGGCUUAAAUAUAUAAUUAUAGCCUCUUAAGGGGCCGGUUGCUUGCGUUCAGUGGCGUUUUGAGUUCAUAAACUAAUGGCAGGGUUGGUCAACGCUUGCCGGCGAUUAACGAAACCAUGUACACCUUUACGUAGCGACGAAUACAGAGAGGUUCACCUUUUUUAAAGUUACUAAAGUAACCCUCACUCUCUCACUACCCCCUCCAAGUCCGUGGCUUAUAAAGUCCAUUGGGAGCUUGAAAUCAAAAUACAAAGCGCGACGUGCCCAAUCAUUUUUCUUCUGAUCCGAUCUGACUCUCCCAUCCAUCCUCCUCUCCUAAUGGCGUCCCAAGACAAUGUGUCCAGAUCUCCUCCUGCUAAUGCCCACCCCAUGAAGAUCGCAUUGGUCACCGGCAUCACCGGCCAGGAUGGUUCAUACCUCACGGAGUUCCUACUCCAGAAAGGCUACCAAGUUCACGGCCUUAUCCGACGUUCCUCCAAUUUCAACACUCAGCGACUCAACCAUAUCUACGUCGACCCCCACAAUGCCAACAAAGCUCGCAUGAAGCUCCACUACGCUGAUCUCUCUGAUGCCUCCUCUCUCCGCCGUUGGCUCGAUGUCAUCAAGCCUGACGAGGUCUACAACCUUGCUGCUCAGUCCCACGUUGCUGUCUCCUUCGAGAUCCCUGACUACACUGCUGAUGUCGUCGCUACUGGAGCUCUCCGCCUCCUCGAGGCUGUCAGAUCUCACAACAUCGACAACGGCCGCUCCAUCAAGUACUACCAGGCCGGCUCCUCCGAGAUGUUCGGCUCCACUCCUCCUCCUCAGUCCGAGACCACGCCGUUUCAUCCCAGAUCUCCCUAUGCAGCGUCCAAAUGCGCCGCUCACUGGUACACCGUCAACUACCGAGAGGCCUAUGGUCUGUACGCCUGCAACGGGAUCCUCUUCAACCACGAAUCACCACGCCGGGGUGAGAACUUCGUUACUCGGAAAAUCACUCGGGCUUUGGGAAGGAUCAAGGUCGGAUUGCAGACGAAGCUCUUCCUCGGAAAUAUACAGGCUUCAAGAGACUGGGGCUUCGCAGGAGACUACGUCGAGGCAAUGUGGCUGAUGCUGCAGCAGGAGAAACCAGAUGACUACGUCGUGGCAACUGAGGAAUCACACACUGUCGAGGAGUUUCUGGAGGUGUCUUUCCAGUACGUUGGGCUCAACUGGAAAGACCACGUCGAGAUCGAUAAGAGGUACUUCCGGCCAACAGAGGUGGACAACCUCAAAGGAGACGCAAGCAAGGCAAAGGAGAUGUUGGGGUGGAAGCCCAAAGUAGGAUUCGAGAAGCUGGUCAAGAUGAUGGUGGACGAAGACCUUGAGCUGGCUAAGAGGGAGAAAGUGCUUGUCGACGCUGGCUACAUGGACGCUAAGCAGCAACCUUGAUCUUGAACUACCCAAAGAUGAGCCAUCAGUAUCUUGCUUUUCUUCAAUUGAAAUCUAGUUUUGUUUCAUUUGUUGUUGUUGUCUUUUAUUGUUUCAAGUAGUUCAACUUGCGUAUAGUCAGUCCAUUGUGGAUGUUGUACCAAAGGCAAACAGAACAUAUAUAUUACAUAUGAAUUUUCCCUUAUCGCAACAAUGGUUCCUUAGUGUUCACCAGCGAUUAUACAACUCAGAAAAUAAACCAAUGUACAAAAUAUGAAAGCCUAAAAGAUGAAAGGAAAAACGAAAUAAAGAUCCACAACAAAAGAGAUCAAUCAAUAGCAUCAUCAUCAUGCAUCUAUGCAAACUCAAAAUGAGAUCAGAAAAUAUAGUAUAAAUCUAGACAUAUUCUGAUUCACCAAUCUACCUAUUGUUCAGAGUAUUUACUCUUAUGCAUCUUGUUUAGAAGACAGAGUAGUAGUGUUAAUACUGACUGAAUCAGGUGAUGCAAGAGAAAAAGGCGGCACUGUGGACCUUAGAGAUUCAGGUCCUUCAGAAUUAAUUCGCUUACAUAAUGUAUCGCAGUUGUUGAUCACUUCUGUUAACCUUCCUUUAAGCUCCCCGAGCUCCACCUGCAAACCAUGAACUAAAAAUAUGUUCCAAGUAUAAGAAAAAUGAAAAAUGAAGUCCAGUGUCAAACACAUAUGCAUAGUCUACACAAACAAAAAGUACCUUGAGAUAAAUGCUGGGAAGUUGUCCUCAUUGCAGAAACAGAGUAGUUGAACCUCUGUAAGAGUUUAGUCGCCAAAGCAUCUGCCACUUCUAUCUUGUUUUCUAUAUCUUCCUAGAUACAUGAUACAACAUGUAAUAUAAGUCAGUUUCCCUUUAAUUGCUAAACCUACAAUCACACUGUGAUGAUGCACAUGCUUAAGUUUCAGACAUAGGACCAAAGUAAGUAGAAAAUCUAAGAAAAGAAAGAGAUUGCAUUCCUUUGCGCCACAUUUGGGAACCAAAAAGAAACACUAAUUACUUGGGGAGUCUAAAGAAAGUUUUCGGCUAAUUGCAAACAUUUGUUAGAGACUGAAUUCAAAGGCUAAGAUUCAGACCAUGAGGAGAAAAUAAGAGUAAGGAACUCAUAAUUGAUUGAAAAAGGAGCAAAAAGAAAAGAGAGACCUGUGCCUUGGUGAUUUGUUGAGUUUUGCUCUCUUGCCAUUCUCGGUAAAUGGAGAAGAGCUCUACAAGUAUUUGAGGAUCAACCGUAUCUGGGGAGAAAAGCAGGAAACAUGGAGUUGUAAGAUGAAUGAAGACAAGACAAGAGUUAUUUCAUCAUUGAGCCUAAGUAAACCGACGACAGGAUGCAACAAAACCCAAAAGACAAGCAGAACCCCCACAAUCCAUCAUUUGAGGUUUAAAGUUCACCACAAAUCCCAAUAACAAAUGUUUUAAAGAAAGCUCACUGGAAGAUGAACUCGACAGAGCUUUUCUCACUAAGAUGUCCGUUAAGCUGCUCUCCGUGGGAGGCGACUUCAAUAUUGGCCUACUCUGCAUUUCAAAACAACAAAAAUAUUUAAUCGAAAAUUGAGAGAAGAAGACUAGUUUCCAUGUUCGAUUUUGGGCGAAUUGGAGUAAACUCACAACUGUGAGGGAUUUCAAAUUCUCGAGAAUGGGAUCGACUGUUUCGGAUCGAUGCGAGAUGGUCGUAAUCACAUCUCCACCUCCAUUUUCCUGGAAUUUGUUCAAAUAAUUUCAUAUAUGUACAUCGGAGGAUUGAAGAACAUGAUGCCUCAAGAAUCAAUCAAAUCCAAAAACAUCAUAUAUACCUGAGCGCCUAGCAGAGUUGAAUCUGAUGCUCCCAUUUGCUUCUUCACUGCUACGAAUCGAUCCUGUAUUUAGAUUUUAGAAUCAGCAUGGUUUUCUUUGCAUCCGCCACCACAAGGACAAGGACAAGGACAAGGAGAGCGCCACUUGACGUUUCGUGAAAUCGCAAUCCAACAGCGUGCCGUUUUACACCGUAUGUGAGACGACAAUAUGUUUUCAAACAGACGCACGAAACGACAGCUCUUUUGGAUAUGUAUUUUUUUAAUAAUUAUUGGGGAAGGGGGACAGAGCAUGAGUAAACCACAAACCAUGCUUCACCGCGCAUGGUAGACAAAGCCCAUAUUAAUUGGGCCCACCUUGAGCCCACUUUCCUUUUAGAACGAAUAAUUUGAAUACCGCGCAAUUUCGGACCGUAUUGUAUUAUUCUCGAGUCGCUGAUGCAUUUAUGUACGAAUAAAACUGAGCAAGUGCAUGUAGAGCAAUAUAUCUAUAACUUGUUCGGUUUCUCACCUUCUUCUGUUUAUCCAUCGGAAAUCAAUUCCUUUCGUUCAAUUUAUUACGUACGACCAUAAUAUAUAUAUAUAUAUAUGUGUGUAAGAAAGACUGAAAGUCCCAAAUUAAGUACGAUGCCGUUUCUUGUGCAUGCAUGCAUAGAUUGAAGCCGCUGGCUUCUAUUCUUCGCCACUCAUCAGCAACUGAGACGCCACGAACUUAUCCAGAUAUCUCCAGUCAGUGAUCCUCUUCU